rnacentral:rRNA from 1 species
CUACGGGUGGCUGCAGUAGGGAAUAUUGGGCAAUGGGCGCAAGCCUGACCCAGCAACGCCGCGUGCGCGAAGAAGGCCUUCGGGUCGUAAAGCGCUUUUCUGAGGGAUGAGAAAGGACAGUACCUCAGGAAUAAGCCUCGGCUAACUACGUGCCAGCAGCCGCGGUAAAACGUAGGAGGCGAGCGUUAUCCGGAUGUACUGGGCGUAAAGCGUGUGCAGGCGGUCUGGCAAGUUGGAUGUGAAAGCUCCCGGCUCAACUGGGAGAGGUCGUUCAAAACUACCGGACUAGAGUGUAUCAGAGGGAGAUGGAAUUCCCGGUGUAGUGGUGAAAUGCGUAGAUAUCGGGAGGAACACCAGUGGCGAAAGCGAUCUUCUGGGAUACUACUGACGCUCAGACACGAAAGCUAAGGUAGCGAACGGGAUUAGAUACCCCCGUAGUC